GAUGAAGAACGUAGCGAAAUGCGAUAAGUAAUGCGAAUUGCAGAAUUCCAGUGAGUCAUCGAAUCUUUGAACGCACAUUGCGCCCUUUGGUAUUCCGAAGGGCAUGCCUGUUCGAGCGUCAUUAUCACCCCUCAAGCCCUCGGCUUGGUGUUGGACGGUUUGGUGGAGGCCCCCUCGGGGGCUCCUGCCCCUCCCAAAGACAAUGACGGCGGCCUCGUUGGACCCCCGGUACACUGAGUUCUUCACGGGACACGUAUCGGACACAUGGGUUUACGGGACACGGUCUGCCUCCCCUCAGGGAGAAUCUUUCUAAGGUUGACCUCGGAUCAGGUAGGGAUACCCGCUGAACUUAAGCACAUCAAUAAGCGGAGGA
rnacentral:misc_RNA from 1 species